UCCACGAUUUGAGUCCUGGAAGCUGUUUUUUCCUUCCCAGAGGAGCCUUCAUUUAUAAUACGCUUACAGAUUUCAUACGAAGACCGUGUUAGCCAGGAUGGUCUCAAUCUCCUGACCUCGUGAUCCACCCACCUCGGCCUCCCAAAGUGCUGGGAUUAUAGGCAUGAGCCACCACCGCGCCCGGCCUUUUAUUUUUUUAUUUUAUUUUUUUCCUAAGAUGGAGUUUUGCCCUUGUCGCCCAGGCUGGAGUGCAAUGGCAUGAUCUCAGCUCACCACAACCUCUGCCUCCCAGGUUCAAGUGAUUCUCCUGCCUCAGCCUCCCAAGUAGCUGGGAUUAUAGGCAUGCACCACCACACCCAG
rnacentral:lncRNA from 10 species